AAAAGUAUUGAGCGAAAAGAUACACGGGCAUUACGAUCAUCAUAUAAGAUCAAACAUUAACCUAGAAGCAAAAAGGGUCAAAACUCACCUCAAUGGAAGAAAUCUCUUCCAAAGCUCCAAAAGAGAGCUAGAACCCUUCCAAUCCAAGCCAAAGGAAGAUUCUAAACCAACUAAUUUAGCCCCAAAAGUCCUAGAUCAAAAA
rnacentral:lncRNA from 1 species